AAUCUGUGAUGUGGACAAUCACGUUCAUACUCCUUAAAUCACUCCCAGGCUUCAUAAAAAGACUCGACCGGAUCUUGUUGGAAACUUUGGAUUUUGUUUCUCAACAGGUU
rnacentral:snoRNA from 1 species